rnacentral:rRNA from 1 species
AACCUGGGAACUGCAUUCGAAACUGGCAGGCUAGAGUCUUGUAGAGGGGGGUAGAAUUCCAGGUGUAGCGGUGAAAUGCGUAGAGAUCUGGAGGAAUACCGGUGGCGAAGGCGGCCCCCUGGACAAAGACUGACGCUCAGGUGCGAAAGCGUGGGGAGCAAACAGGAUUAGAUACCCUGGUAGUCCACGCCGUAAACGAUGUCGAUUUGGAGGUUGUGCCCUUGAGGCGUGGCUUCCGGAGCUAACGCGUUAAAUCGACGCCUGGGGAGUACGGCCGCAAGGUUAAAACUCAAAUGAAUUGACGGGGGCCCGCACAAGCGGUGGAGCAUGUGGUUUAAUUCGAUGCAAACGCGAAGA